rnacentral:rRNA from 1 species
GGAAAGGCGAAAAGAACCCCGGCGAGGGGAGUGAAAAAGAACCUGAAACCGUGUACGUACAAGCAGUGGGAGCACAGGUUUACCUGUGUGACUGCGUACCUUUUGUAUAAUGGGUCAGCGACUUAUAUUCUGUAGCAAGGUUAACCGUAUAGGGGAGCCGUAGGGAAACCGAGUCUUAACCGGGCGUUAAGUUGCAGGGUAUAGACCCGAAACCCGGUGAUCUAGCCAUGGGCAGGUUGAAGGUUGGGUAACACUAACUGGAGGACCGAACCGACUAAUGUUGAAAAAUUAGCGGAUGACCUGUGGCUGGGGGUGAAAGGCCAAUCAAACCGGGAGAUAGCUGGUUCUCCCCGAAAGCUAUUUAGGUAGCGCCUCGUGAAUUCAUCUCCGGGGGUAGAGCACUGUUUCGGCUAGGGGGCCAUCCCGGCUUACCAACCCGAUGCAAACUGCGAAUACCGGAGAAUGUUAUCACGGGAGACACACGGCGGGUGCUAACGUCCGUCGUGAAGAGGGAAACAACCCAGACCGCCAGCUAAGGUCCCAAAGUCAUGGUUAAGUGGGAAACGAUGUGGGAAGGCCCAGACAGCCAGGAUGUUGGCUUAGAAGCAGCCAUCAUUUAAAGAAAGCGUAAUAGCUCACUGGUCGAGUCGGCCUGCGCGGAAGAUGUAACGGGGCUAAACCAUGCACCGAAGCUGCGGCAGCGAACGUAUCACCCAAGACAACUUUACGGAGUUGACGAUUGACGGAGCGAAGCGACGUCAAAGCGUUCAUUAAAGUCGAGUUGGCUUAGGGAUACGUUCGUUGGGUAGGGGAGCGUUCUGUAAGCCUGUGAAGGUGUGUCGUGAGGCAUGCUGGAGGUAUCAGAAGUGCGAAUGCUGACAUAAGUAACGAUAAAGCGGGUGAAAAGCCCGCUCGCCGGAAGACCAAGGGUUCCUGUCCAACGUUAAUCGGGGCAGGGUGAGUCGACCCCUAAGGCGAGGCCGAAAGGCGUAGUCGAUGGGAAACGGGUUAAUAUUCCCGUACUUGGUGUUACUGCGAAGGGGGGACGGAGAAGGCUAUGUUGGCCGGGCGACGGUUGUCCCGGUUUAAGCGUGUAGGUGUGUGUUCCAGGUAAAUCCGGUUCACUUUAACACUGAGGCGUGACGACGAGGCACUACGGUGCUGAAGCAACAAAUGCCCUGCUUCCAGGAAAAGCCUCUAAGCAUCAGGUAACACGAAAUCGUACCCCAAACCGACACAGGUGGUCAGGUAGAGAAUACCAAGGCGCUUGAGAGAACUCGGGUGAAGGAACUAGGCAAAAUGGUGCCGUAACUUCGGGAGAAGGCACGCUGACACGUAGGUGAAGUGAUUUACUCAUGGAGCUGAAGUCAGUCGAAGAUACCAGCUGGCUGCAACUGUUUAUUAAAAACACAGCACUGUGCAAACACGAAAGUGGACGUAUACGGUGUGACGCCUGCCCGGUGCCGGAA